rnacentral:sRNA from 2 species
AUGUACCCUCACGCCAUCCGCACCCAGCUGACGAUUGCUCGCUACGUUGUGUUAGCC